rfam:Gossypium arboreum cultivar AKA8401 contig_37634_3, whole genome shotgun sequence.
AUUCCAUGAUGAGGGCACUUUCGUAAUAAUUCCUUAAACUGCUCCCAUACCUCAUAUAAAGAUUUUUCAUGAAAUUGCUAAAAUUAAAUUAUUUUAUUUUGGAGCUU